rnacentral:rRNA from 1 species
AUUGAACGCUGGCGGCAGGCCUAACACAUGCAAGUCGAACGAGUGGCGGACGGGUGAUUAAUGUCUGGGAAACUGCCUGAUGGAGGGGGAUACCUACUGGAAACGGUCGCUAAUACCGCAUCCCAUCGGCUGUGCCCAGAUGGUCUUAGCUAGUAGGUGGGGGAAAGGCUCACCUAGUCUACGAUCCCUCGCUGGUCUGAGAGGAUGACGAGCCACACUGGAACGGAGACACGGUCCAGAGUCCUACGGGAGGCAGAAGGGGGGAAUAUUGCACAAUGGGCGGAAGCCUGAUGCAGCCAUGCCGCGUGUAUUAAGAAGGCCUUCGGGUUGUAAAGUACUUUCAGCGGGGAGGCGUUACCCGCAGAAGAAGCACCGGCUAACUCCGUGCCAGCAGCCGCGGUAAUAC